CCUACGGGGCGCAGCAGUGGGGAAUCUUCCGCAAUGGGCGAAAGCCUGACGGAGCAACGCCGCGUGAUCGAAUGAAGGCCUUCGGGUUGUAAAGAUCUGUUGACAGGGACGAAUAAGCAAUGCGAAUAGUUUUGUGUAUGACGGUACCUGUUUAGAAAGCUCCGGCUAACUACGUGCCAGCAGCCGCGGUAAUACGUAGGGGGCAAGCGUUAUCCGGAUUUACUGGGUGUAAAGGGAGCGUAGACGGUACGCCAAGUCUGAAGUGAAAUGCCGCAGCUUAACUGCGGACCUGCUUUGGAAACUGG
rnacentral:rRNA from 1 species